GACGAACGCUGGCGGCGUGCCUAAUACAUGCAAGUCGAGCGCAGGAAGCCGACGGAACCCUUCGGGGGGAAGUCGACGGAAUGAGCGGCGGACGGGUGAGUAACACGUAAAGAACCUGCCCUCAGGUCUGGGAUAACCACGAGAAAUCGGGGCUAAUACCGGAUGGGUCAUCGGACCGCAUGGUCCGAGGAUGAAAGGCGCUCCGGCGUCGCCUGGGGAUGGCUUUGCGGUGCAUUAGCUAGUUGGUGGGGUAAUGGCCCACCAAGGCGACGAUGCAUAGCCGACCUGAGAGGGUGAUCGGCCACACUGGGACUGAGACACGGCCCAGACUCCUACGGGAGGCAGCAGUAGGGAAUCUUCCACAAUGGACGAAAGUCUGAUGGAGCAACGCCGCGUGAACGAUGAAGGCCUUCGGGUCGUAAAGUUCUGUUGUAAGGGAAGAACAAGUGCCGCAGGCAAUGGCGGCACCUUGACGGUACCUUGCGAGAAAGCCACGGCUAACUACGUGCCAGCAGCCGCCGUAACAC
rnacentral:rRNA from 1 species